rnacentral:rRNA from 1 species
AGACCGGUCUACUGGUCGUGCUUUUGUACGUACUGGUUUUAUUGGUUUCUCCUUUCUGACGAACUAUAAUGCCAUUAAUUUGGUGUUAUGGGGAAUUUGGACUGUUACUUUGAAAAAAUUAGAGUGUUUAAAGCAAGCUAACGCUUGAAUACAUUAGCAUGGAAUAAUGAAAUAGGACGUUCGAUCCUAUUUUGUUGGUUUCUAGGAUUGACGUA